UAAAUGUUUUUUGGCAUCGUUGAUAUUGAUGCUAGAAAAAUUCAAAAUAACCUCUUUAUGGCGGCUCUUUUAAUUUAGAUUGUUAUUACAUAGAAUAAAUAUUCAUUUGGAAUUAAGCGUUUUAUUUAAAAGAUAUUGUUAGACCUUAGGACUUUAAUUAGAAAAAUGGUUUCUAAUAGAGCUGAUGGAGAUACUGAUUCUAAUGUCAGUAAAAGUAAAUCUGAUGCUUUAACUGAUAUGAGUGAGGAAGAAAUGGUACAACAUUUAGCGCUCUGUUUAAAGCUAGAUGCUGAAAAU